UACGUAGGGGGCAAGCGUUGUCCGGAAUCAUUGGGCGUAAAGCGCGUGUAGGCGGCCCGAUAAGUCCGCUGUGAAAGUCCAGGGCUCAACCCUGGAAUGCCGGUGGAUACUGUCGGGCUCGAGUCCGGAAGAGGCGAGUGGAAUUCCUGAGUGUAGCGGUGAAAUGCGCAGAUAUCAGGAGGAACACCGAUGGCGAAGGCAGCUCGCUGGGACGGUACUGACGCUGAGACGCGAAAGCGUGGGGAGCAAACAGG
rnacentral:rRNA from 1 species